GGGUCAGAACCAGGGUUUUGUAUAGCCUCUUGGUUAUUAGUUUUUCCAUUCAUAAACCUCCACAUUGAGCUCCCAGAAGCAGAUAGAAGCCUGCAGCGCAUGCUGGGACUUCUGGUGUGACAUCACCUGGGCACAUGGUCUUUGCUCAGCCAAGGCUUCGUUUUUGCCAUGCUUUCCCUUCAUCAGCAGUGCUUCAUCCGCAGCCGGGGGUGGCGGGCGCCCCCCAUUUUCAUAAUAACUGUGUACAGCGCGCGGGAGAAUGGGGGUGUGAGAGGAGCAGCCAAUGGCAUGGCCACCCGCUGAUACUGGAAAUCAGCAGCCUCCUCCCUAAUAACAGCUCUGUACGGAGCUCUGUUAUUGGAGCUUUCAGGCAACAGCAGUAUUGCUGUACUGCCUGUGCCGCUCACAGCGCUGAUGAAUGGCACUGAAAUUAUUGUGCAUAUUCAUACGCAUUAGACUUUGCCUGUACAGGCAUCUAUGAGGCUUGUACAAGUGUUUUUGUGACCUCUGGAGAAGAAUGAUGAGAAAUCUUGACUGGGUCCUGGUGCAGCAGUUGUGGAGAACCAAAAUGUUCUGGCUAGUCAGAUGCCGGUGACCUCAUCAGCACCAAAUGUCCUUAUGAGAGGUCUGAGUGGACAGAGUAUUGCUAGAUGUGAGCAAUGUGCUUCUGGGCGGUAAUACAGGGCAGGAAAAGUUGUGGCCUACAACGUCAGCUUGCCAGUAGUCUCUGCCCAGUACGCUGGAACAGUCCUGAUGCGGAAGGUGAGGGUUUCAGAUGGUCAGGAGGGCUUAGAUGACCUUCAUAAUAGCAGUUUGAUAAAUACCAAGGAUGAGCCAUGUGUGCAAUCUCGCUAGGCUGCAGGUCUUAAGUCUUCUUAAUCUUGUAUAAGAAGGAUCUGAGAGGGAAGAUGAAUGUUACAGGAAGGGUUCUAGCUGCUGUUAGGGCCAGGGAUUGAACACAUCUUAGCCACCUAAGUAGCCAUGUGGAAAGUCCUAAUCUGUGGUUGACAGCCUUCCUUGUAUACAUAGAUUACUGUCACUUGGAACUCAGAAAGAGCAGAGAUGUAAAUGAAUAUAUAUUUUUAGAUUUUUUUUCUCAAGCUUUUCAAAUAAAUGAUAUAUCAAUCUGCUCAGGUCGUUCUGCUCUAUAGCAUGUUCCCUGCAGAUGGUGUUGAUUUUCUGACACAUAUUUACAAGAGGGUAUGUAGCAGAAAUCCAAAGCUGACACUCGGAUUUCUUCCACUGAUGUGCAGUUUAAUAUGCCACAGAUCCACAUUCAGUGGGGCUGACACUGAGCGGUUUAUUUUCCAGAGCAUGUAAAGGGGGUCACUAUUACCCCAUUCCCAUGCAUUGGGGUGGGUUCUAAUAGGAUUUUAGUGUAAAAUCAGCUUUAAAUUCACAGCGUGUGAACGGGCCCUAAUUGUUUGUAACACUGCGAGUCGCUUGAAGUCGUCAUUCAUGUCCCUUAUAUUCCAAACCAAAAUUGUCAUUCAGCAAAGCAAAAAUACCUGCGCCCUAUUUCAGCCCAAACAUAGAGCAAGUCCUGAAUCCCUAAACAAAUCCCUCUUCAUGCAGCCAUGUUGUUCUACCCUCAUAAAGUCAUUAUUGCUAGCUCUACUGGUACAUAAGAAUGUAUAUUUUAUGUCUAAGGCUACUUUCACACUCGCGUUUCACGGAUCCAUUUGAAACGGAUCCGUCACACAACUGACAAAACUGAGACGAAAGAAAACAAUUUAAACGGAUCAGUCUGUAAAGCGGAUCCGUUGGUCACAUUUGUUUCAGUUUUGGCUUCCAUUUAGCGGAUCCGUUUUGUAAUAAGAAGGUGUGUUUAAAAAGUGUCCACCCACUUUUACAGUGUAUUAAAGUAGGGAUUAAUCCAUUUAGGCUCUUUGUGUAUUGGUAACAUGUUGCCUGCACACAUACGCCUGCGAUUGGCGUUACUUAUCCUGUAAGCGAGAUGGAGAAGACGUGCCCAGGAAAGAAGAAGAUGCCGGUAUUGGGUGCACCCGAUAACUUCCAAACACAUCACCAGAGGUGUAUUUUCAGUCCUGUAUUUGGAGCUUCGUCGUAAUCCUAAAUCAGUUUUCAAUUAUAUGCGCAUGACUGUCAAGGGUUAUGACCAGCUACUGCAGCGCAUUUCGACAAGCCUUGAAAGACACGAUACCCGCUACAGAAGGGCAAUUACUCCUGCAGAGCGACUAACGGUGACAAUAAGGUUUUUUGCUACCGGAGAAAGUCUUUCAUCGCUGCAUUACCAGUAUCGGAUGGGAAUUUCAACAAUCUCUGGUAUAGUCUGCGAUACUCGUUGUGCCUUGUGGGAGGUAUUGCACGAGGAUUACAUCCCACAUCCUACAACAGAACAGUGACGUCAGAUCGUAGACAACAAGUUUCUGCAAACCUGACUGUGUCGGAGGUGUGGAUGGGGAAACCUAUACGGAUUGUGAAACCUUCAGGAAGUGGCUCUGAAUUCUAUAACUACAACUAAUAUAUUUUUCAAUUAUCUUGAUGGCCUUUGCGGAUGCUGAAUACCGCCGUUGACAUUGGAGCUUAUGGGCAGACAAAUGACUUGAUGGCUUUAAAAAAAAUCUGCAAUGGGACGCCUCCUGUAUUCAAAGGACUUUGGAUUGCCAGCACCGAGACCUUUGCCAGGAACUGAUGGACCUCCAAUGCCAUUUGUGGUAGUAGGGGACAAGGCCUUCCAAAUGUGCGAGAACCUCAUCAAGCCAUACUCUAGCUGCGACUUGAACCCUGCAAAGCGUGUUUUUAACUACAGACUGUCAUGAGUUAGACAACUUGCUGAGUGCGCUUUUGGCAUUUUAGUUGCGAAAUGGCGUAUUCUCACCAAAGCCAUCAAUCUUAAGGUUGAAACCUAGACUAUGUAGUUAAAGCCUGUGUAGUUCUACAUAACUAUCUUUUUAUCAGAGGAACCACUGCACCUGGACCUGCAGGAGGUUGAUUGCACACUUACCAAGCUGCAACAUCUGGGGUAUCGUUCAACCCUUGCCGUGGCCUGAAUGAGGGACAGUUUUACUGAUUAUGAAGCUUCUGAAGCUGGCAGAGUGAGUUGGCAGAAUAAUUUUGUUUAAUUGUUGUUUAAAAUGUUUGGUCUUCUAUAAAAAAAAAAAUGGGGUAUACACCUUGUGUCUUUUUUUUUAUUUAUUUUUUGCUCAGCACCAAGAAUGCUUCUAAAAUGGUGAUUAUAUUAUAGCAUCACUGCAGCAAGGUCCAGAUACUCGGUGGUGGCAUUAUGCAGCAUUAUGCAGUACAUGGCAUCAUUAUGCUGUGCAUGUUGUGCUGCACACUGGGCAAUUUCCCCGCACUCAUAUGAUCUUAUGAGUGCGGGACUACAGCCCCGCAGGCAGCCGGACGUGCACAGCAUCUUUGUAGUCUAUGAUGCUGUGUACUCAUGUGCGCAAGAUCAAUGCGGCUCCGGGACAUAUGUCCAGCAUGUCGGGGGGGUAUCGAUUGUGUGCAAGAGGCAUUAACUGCAUUAUGUCCCUUGUGAUAAUCAAGCUAGUCAUGUGAGAGCGUCAUCUGGAAAUCGCGAACUAAACACUAAAAUUACAAUGUAGUGCUCUUUAGGUAAUGAAUUCACUGUGAUGCUGAUUCGCAUGGACCGUGACUCCCACAAGGGCUCAUGUGAACGGGCACAAGAUUGACCUAUGAUCAAGCAAAUGCUUGUUCAUAUACCAAUCGGAGGGAAUACGAUCAAUAAGGAGGCAAAAGAUAGCUCAUUAUUAACGGUGCUACAUGACAUGUUAAUGGUUCAGCCACCUUUGGCAAUACGGCCGUUUUGAAAUCAAAACUAUCAAGGGCGUUAUAAUAAAUGCAAAGUGGUUAGCCAAUGGUAGAUUUAAUUUUACUGCAACUGUAGUGCCAAAGGGUGCUAAUCCCCUGUUACAGACAAUGAAAACACACACAGUCAAGUAAACUAUAUAUUUUUUUAUUUGCAGAAACAAUAUAUAUAUAUAUAUAUAUAUAAAUAAUAACAGUAAAAUAAAAUAAACUAUAACUGAUGAUAUCUUGAAGGGGAGGUGGACUAUUGCGGGUGGAAUGUCUAGGGCUGGCAAGGCUAGCCCCCUGUCCUCUGGAUAGGCAUAAACAAACAUUACGGGCCCCAGGAAAAGAUGCAGGGCGAAUUUUUGGGGUGUGGAGAGUGGAAGGUUCUGAGGUGGAGGAGGGAGUUUGAAACUAAGUUGGAGGAAAAUAGUGGGGAGGAGAAGUGAAAAACUAAACAAAAGGGAACACAUGCGCGGGGGGGGGGGGGGUUCGGGGGCGAUUAGUUGACAGGGAUGUGGGAUAGGUUGGGGAUUGAGAUUGGGGGAGGUGCAUAUAUA